rnacentral:rRNA from 1 species
CCCGACUGCUAUCGGAUUGAGAUUUAGCCAUGCGAGUCGAACGUCCCCCUGUUGCGGGGGGCGUGGCGUACGGCUCAGUAACACGUAGUCAACCUGCCCUGGAGACAAGGACAACCCCGGGAAACUGGGAUUAAUCCUUGAUAGGUCAUCUCAUCUGGAAGGAGAGAUGGCUUAAAGGGGUACGCGGGCUUCUUCCGCGAAUCUGCUCCAGGAUGGGACUGCGUCCGAUCAGGCUGUUGGCGGGGUAAUGGCCCACCAAACCUGUAACCGGUACGGGCCUUGAGAGAGGUGGCCCGGAGAUGGACACUGAGAGAAGGGUCCAGGUCCUACGGGGCGCAGCAGGCGCGAAACCUUCGCAAUGCGCGAAAGCGUGACGAGGUUAAUCCGAGUGACUCCCGCUGAGGGGGUCUUUUGUCAGCUGUAAAUAGGCAGGCGAAUAAGGGGAGGGCAAGCCUGGUGUCAGCCGCCGCGGUAAUACCAGCUCCUCGAGUGGUCGGGGCGAUUAUUGGGCCUAAAGCAUCCGUAGCCGGUUCCGUAGGUCCUCUGUUAAAUCCAACCGCUUAACGGUUGACCUGCAGAGGAUACCGCGGGACUAGGAGGCGGGAGAGGCGGACGGUACUCCGCGUGUAGGGGUAAAAUCCUUUGAUCCGCGGAAGACCACCAGUGGCGAAGGCGGUCCGCCAGAACGCGCUCGACGGUGAGGGAUGAAAGCUGGGGGAGCGAACCGGAUUAGAUACCCGGGUAGUCCCAGCCGUAAACGAUGCUAGCUAGAUGAUUCAUUCGCAAGUCGCGAAUGAAGUGUCGCAGGGAAGCCGUUAAGCUAGCCGCCUGGGGAGUACGGUCGCAAGACU